rnacentral:rRNA from 1 species
AGGUUUGGCACCUCGAUGUCGGCUCAUCGCAUCCUGGGGCUGAAGUAGGUCCCAAGGGUCCGGCUGUUCGCCGGUUAAAGCGGUACGCGAGCUGGGUUCAGAACGUCGUGAGACAGUUCGGUCCUUAUCCGCGGCGGGCGUGGGAAAUUUGAGAAGGGCUGCUCCUAGUACGAGAGGACCGGAGUGGACGGACCGCCAGUGUGCCGGUUGCGCUGCCCAGUGCAAUGCCGGGUAGCUGUGUCCGGUCGUGAGAACCGCUGAAUGCAUCUAAGCGGGAAACACGCUUCAAGAUGAGAUUUCCACUGGGGGAGAAAUCCCCCUAAAAGAGCCCUGGGAGACUACCAGGUCGAUAGGGCAGCGAUGUAAAUGCAGCAAUGCAUGUGUCUACUGCUCCUAAUAGCUCGAAAACUUGAUCU